UCCUGGCUCAGGAUGAACGCUAGCGGCAAGGGCUUAACACAUGCAAGUCGAGGGGUAGAGGAAGCUUGCUUCCUUGAGACCGGCGCACGGGUGCGUAACGCGUAUGCAACCUACCUUUUACAGAGGGAUAGCCCAGAGGAAAAUUUGGAUUAAUACCUCAUGGUAUAUAUCAUUCGCAUGUUUGAUAUAUUAAAGUUCCACGGUAAAAGAUGGGCAUGCGUCCUAUUAGCUAGAUGGUAAGGUAACGGCUUACCAUGGCAACGAUAGGUAGGGGUCCUGANAGGGGGAUCCCCCACACUGGUACUGAGACACGGACCAGACUCCUACGGGAGGCAGCAGUGAGGAAUAUUGGACAAUGGGCGCAAGCCUGAUCCAGCCAUGCCGCGUGCAGGAAGAAGCAUCUAUGGUGUGUAAACUGCUUUUGUACGGGAAGAAACACUCCUUCGUGAAGGAGCUUGACGGUACCGUAAGAAUAAGGAUCGGCUAACUCCGUG
rnacentral:rRNA from 1 species